rnacentral:rRNA from 1 species
UCGUGUCGUGAGAUGUUGGGUUAAGUCCCGCAACGAGCGCAACCCACAUCCCUAGUUGCCAGCAGUUCGGCUGGGCACUCUAUGGAAACUGCCCGUGAUAAGCGGGAGGAAGGUGUGGAUGACGUCAAGUCCUCAUGGCCCUUACGGGUUGGGCUACACACGUGCUACAAUGGUAGUGACAAUGGGUUAAUCCCAAAAAGCUAUCUCAGUUCGGAUUGUCGUCUGCAACUCGACGGCAUGAAGUCGGAAUCGCUAGUAAUCGCGUAACAGCAUGACGCGGUGAAUACGUUCCCGGGCCUU